AGCAAAAUUAUUAAAUGAAUUUCCUUUAAACAAUGAAUUAUAUAAAUAGAAAAUUUAAUAAAAAUAAAUUCAAAAUGAAAAGGAAAUAAAAUAACCUAACGGAAUUGAAAUUAUAAGGGCUAAAACUUAAACAUACAGCCAAUAACCCUAGCCCCUUCUUCUAUACUUUAGCCAACCCCUAAAUCCCCACUUCAAACCACCGAUUCCCAUCCCCCAAACAACAAUCUGCACAUUGAAGCUUAGAGGACGAAAUUUUUAGCCUCAAGAUCUCCUCCUGACUUCGAUUUCAACAAAGUAGAAGAAGACCUACGGCGUAUUUACGAGGAAAGGCCGUACACAAGCACGAGCGGAGACGCGCGCGAGGGGCUGGUGGCGCACGUGUGGUGCUCAUCCGAAUUACUGGCUGCUGCGCGAGAGGGAGAACCCUUAGAGCUUCUGAAACAAUCACCUGGACCAGUCUUUGGGUCAUGUAUGGAAUGGGCUGAGACUUUGGGUUAUUAAUUAAUUGGGUUUAGGAUUUAUGCAAUUGGGUUUUAAAAAAUGUAUCUGGGCUGGACUGUAUAUAUAUAUUUUUUGGGUUAAAUAACUUGUAAAUGGAUAUUGACUUAUUCUGGGCUGUUCAUUGUUUUUGUUUUUAUUUUUGAUUUUUGGUUUUUGGUUUUGUAUGGGCCCGGGCGAAUUGGGCCUAUUACAGAUAUUUUGAUUAGUUCUUUGAUAUGAUUGAUCAGUCAAUUCUAUAAACAACGUAGAUUAGACUUAAAAUAAA